CAAGACUCCUGACAAUUGCACUGUCAUUUUCCCCAAGUACUACUGAAGUGGAUUGCUGUGGACGUUCGGGUGAAGUUGUGCAGGGCAGCAUUAGAGAGCGAGUGACUGGUACUGCUGAUGAUUUCUGCUGUCAGGAUGCUCUUCCACGUAUCCAUGGACUAAAGAAUGUAGCACAAUUGAGCACUGCUAGAAGUUUAUAAGAUGAAUAGAGAACACUGAGGUUUUCUUCAAGGAAGGCUGCACAACCUCUUAAUGAACGUGAAGAAAGAGAUACUGGUCUAAUCAUCUCUCCAUUGUCAGACCACCGGCGUCCGGGAUAAAGAGAAGUCCGCAUUCCUCGAUAUGUGCCCG
rnacentral:lncRNA from 1 species